UUCUACAUACUCAAUGUGUAUAAGGUGUAAUUUUUAUUGGGGCCAAUUUAUUUAAAAGCAUGGUUCAUACAUUUCUGAGGGCAUUUAUACAUUUAUGCAAAAUGUCUAUCAAUAGCAGUCAAUAUAUAUAAAUGUAAUUGAUGUGACAUUUUCUGUCUUUAUAAGGUAUGCUUAGAAGAGGACUUCCCAAUAGAUUCCUACCUUCAGUAAAUGCAUCAUUAGCUGUUCCUGGGACUAUGCUGCAUCAUGGAAGAUUACCAUCAAAAUGGUGAGGAUCUGUUGGUCAUCUUACUGAGAGAGACCCACAUGAUAAAAAGAACAAGUCAGGAAGGCUAAAUGGCUCACCUAGUGCAGUACGAAAAGGAAUCAGUUUUCGUAGAAAGAACAAAUAUGACAUAAAGAGAAAAGAUAAAGGGAAGAGAGUUUCAACUGUUUCAGAGCAUUAUGAUCUUUACUCAGACCGUUAACAAUCACCUCUAUUCUGUCUUCUAUAUUCUUUGUGUCUUUUCUUCCAACUGCUAUAGUUUCUCUUCCUUUGUGUAUUUGUAUGUGAAGUAUGGUUCAGUGUCUGUGUUUCGUUAUUUUUGUAGCAGACAGAUCCUUAUAUUAUCUAUUAUGUGAUUCUCACUCUCCUCUCUCUCUCUCUCUCUCAUUCACUCUUUACAGUGAUACAUUUUUAUUAACAGUUUAUAUCACAAUUUAUUAUUACUAUGUGCAGUGUUGAUAUAGAAAAUAUUUUGUUUCAAAGCAAGUACUGUAUUUAAUGAAUCAUGGCUCUUGUGUUGCAAAUAAACUCAUCAAAAUUAUGUUAAAUUGUGUACUUGUAAGAAUCAUUUUGUCAAAAAUACCAUUAGACUAUGUGUACAGAAUCUUUGUGUUGCUUUAAAAUGGGUAUGCUUUACAUGUUUAGCCUUAUUUGUGUAUCAUUGAACACUACAAGGCAUUAUGCAUGUAAAUGUUGCAAUUGCUUAGGUCCAUCCCCACUGCAUGACGUGGACGGUAUGCGAAUAUAGCAUGCAUAGCUAGCAUUCCACUUCUA